GACGAACGCUGGCGGCGUGCUUAACACAUGCAAGUCGAACGGAAAGGCCCUGCUUUUGUGGGGUGCUCGAGUGGCGAACGGGUGAGUAACACGUGAGUAACCUGCCCUUGACUUUGGGAUAACUUCAGGAAACUGGGUCUAAUCCCGGAUAGGAGCUCCUGCUGCAUGGUGGGGGUUGGAUAGUUUCGGCGGUUGGGGAUGGACUCGCGGCUUAUCAGCUUGUUGGUGGGGUAGUGGCUUACCAAGGCUUUGACGGGUAGCCGGCCUGAGAGGGUGACCGGCCACAUUGGGACUGAGAUACGACCCAGACUCCUACGGGAGGCAGCAGUGGGGAAUAUUGCACAAGGGGCGGAAGCCUGAUGCAGCAACGCCGCGUGCGGGAUGACGGCCUGCGGGUUGUAAUCCGCUUUCGCCUGUGACGAAGCGUGAGUGACGGUAAUGGGUAAAGAAGCACCGGCUAACUACGUG
rnacentral:rRNA from 1 species